GGAGGCAGCAGUGGGGAAUAUUGCGCAAUGGGGGAAACCCUGACGCAGCGACGCCGCGUGUAGGAAGAAGGCUUUCGGGUCGUAAACUACUGUCAGGAGGGAAGAAACUGUUUAGGUCGAAUAGGCCUAUUCACUGACGGUACCUCCAGAGGAAGCACCGGCUAACUCCGUGCCAGCAGCCGCGGUAAUACGGAGGGUGCGAGCGUUAAUCGGAAUCACUGGGCGUAAAGCGUGCGUAGGCGGCGCAGCAAGUCAGACGUGAAAGCCCUCGGCUCAACCGAGGAAUUGCGUUUGAAACUGCUGUGCUUGAGUCUCGGAGAGGUUGGCGGAAUUCCAGGUGUAGGAGUGAAAUCCGUAGAUAUCUGGAGGAACACCGGUGGCGAAGGCGGCCAACUGGACGAGUACUGACGCUGAGGUACGAAAGCGUGGGGAGCAAACAGGAUUAGAUACCCUGGUAGUCCACGCCGUAAACGAUGGAUAUUAGGUGUCGGGGGUAACCCUUCGGUGCCGCAGNUAACG
rnacentral:rRNA from 1 species